GAUGAACGCUGGCGGCGUGCCUAAUACAUGCAAGUCGAGCGCGACUGAUUACACCGUUCUUCGGAACACCGUAAUCAUCGAGCGGCGGACGGGUGAGUAACACGUGGGCAACCUACCCUUAAGACUGGGAUAACCGCGGGAAACCGUGGCUAAUACCGGAUAAUACUUUUAUACAACGGUAUAGAAGUUGACAGGUGGAUUUCUAUCACUUAAGGAUGGGCCUGCGGCGCAUUCGCUGGUUGGUGAGGUAACGGCUUACCAAGGCGACGAUGCGUAGCCGACCUGAGAGGGUGAUCGGCCACACUGGAACGGAGACACGGUCCAGACUCCUACGGGAGGCAGCAGUAGGGAAUCUUCCGCAAUGGGCGAAAGCCUGACGGAGCAACGCCGCGUGUGCGAAGAAGGUCUUCGGAUCGUAAAGCACUGUUGUUAAGGAAGAACGACAGUAAGAGUAACUGUUUACUGUGUGACGGUACUUAACCAGAAAGCCACGGCUAACUACGUG
rnacentral:rRNA from 1 species